GCUCGCUCAGUCAGCUGUGAUGUGAUGUUUGACAGUUCUUGCGUCACUUUCGAGUCACCAAAGAUAUUGUAAAUGAAGGUUGAAUACGGUAUAAAGAGCUAUUGGCUAAUUUUAAACAAAUAGUGUAUAUUACUUAGAAUGGACGCGCAACAACAAAAGUUGAGGACAACUAGCCUGUCGGAGACAUUCAAAUUAGCGCAAUCGGGGCACGAACGGGGCGAAAGCGGAGAGGUGUGUGGGUGAGUGGGAGGUGCGAGGGAUAGACGAUAGUCACGUUCUUUUUUGGUAUGUGCUAAAGCAAGCACGUUUAUUUUAAAGGUAUGCCCAGUCCAUCGUACGUAUAAUACGUCAAUGGUUUUGCCUCACACAAUCAACAAUUUUAUUCAACCUUGAUUAAAAUUGUCUGUAGACAAAACAUUGUUUCAUUACACAUUUAUGUUUGCACCAACAAUGUUUUUGCUUUUCAUGCCCGAUGGAAAACACGUACACAAAAUCACUCUCACGUGGGUCAGGGGCAGAAUAAACUGUAUUGUCAGAUGGUCAGAUCAAUCAUUUCACAUUUGUCAUUUUGACAAUUCGCUAGCUCGGCUUGUACGUGUUUGUGUGUUUUGUUUGGCAGCAAGGUUUUAUUUAUUUCAUAGUUUUUUUGGUGGUGUAGUGCAAGUACAGAUGGAUUGGAAUAAAGAAACGAUCUUAAGCUUCAUUGGCUUUAUAAGAGAGAGACCUGCGAUAUGGAACACUCAAUCGCGGGAUCACAAAAUUAAAAACAAACGACAUGACGCCUUGGCAGAAGUGGCGAUGUUGAUGGGCAUCUCAAUAAAAGAAGUUAAUGUAAAAUGGACUAUUCUUCGAAAUCAAUUCAGCCGGGAAAAGAGAAAGAUGAUGGGCAGCAGCGCAGACUCGGUAUAUAAAACAAAAUGGUAUGCAUACAAGGAGAUGGAGGAUUUAAUGUCAUGCAAUACACCAAUAGUUUACAUCAAUAAUAGUGAGAGAACUACAACGCCACCGCCGCCACAGAGAACUCCAACGCCGCCGCGUUUAUUAACUCAAGCACUACCAUCUAAGCCACCGCUACCAAAAAAGAAAAAAAGGGAAACAGAUGGCCAGAGUUCAUUUUAUAAAGAAGCAGUGGAAACAUUGAGAGUUAUUAGGGAAAGAAAAAAUAUCUCACAAAAUCCUGCUGAUGAUCUAACAAGUUUUGGGUUAUAUAUUGCAGCACGUUUACGACAAUAUUCACCACAUUUACAAUGUAAAGCUAGGUAUGAAAUAAAUAGAAUGUUAUAUAGAUUGGACAUACAAAGCCUGGAACCACCUACAGCUCUUGUUACUUCUGCUUCCAGCAUAGAUGAUAGUGAUAGUCCAUUUUCUCCAGAUUUCAAAAACAACUUGGCUUUCAACAGCAGAUGAUCAAUAUGAAGAAAUGGAUAAUGAAAACUCCAUAACCCAUACUAGCGACAAUUAAGUAUCAACAGUAUUUGCGAAGCCUAUAGGUGUGAGUCUCCUCCAGCUCCGCAAACAAAAAACAAUGAAACAUAGCACGAAAUUACUGAAACAGCAGAGAUAAAGCCGGGUCUCCAGCGCGUGUUUUGCACUACACAAUCAACAAUCCAAGACAAAGUUUAUUGGUCCAGGACAAAAACAAUACUUAUGUUAACAUUCAACCAAAAUGGUCUAGAGCAAAACACGCACUGAAGACUCUGCUUAGUAGUAAAGGUAAAAAGUAAUGAGGUUAUUUUUCAGAUACUGGAAGUACCUACUGAAACAAACCAAGCUGUUAAAUAUUUGUUAACAUUAAAAUGUAACCAAAUAAAAACUUAUAUCAACGUAA